UUGGAGGGCAAGUCUGGUGCCAGCAGCCGCGGUAAUUCCAGCUCCAAUAGCGUAUAUUAAAGUUGUUGCAGUUAAAAAGCUCGUAGUUGAAUUUCGGGAUCAAUACGUCGGUCAUGCUUUUUGGUACGAACUGGCGUCAUUGGUUUCUCCUUUCUGACGAACCAUGAUGUCAUUAAUUUGGUGUUAUGGGGAGUUGGGACCGUUACUUUGAAAAAAUUAGAGUGUUUAAAGCAGGCACAAGCUUGAAUACAUUAGCAUGGAAUAAUGAAAUAGGACGUUUGAUCCUAUUUUGUUGGUUUCUAGGAUCAACGUAAUGAUUAAUAGGGAUAGUUGGGGGCAUUAGUAUUCAAUUGUCAGAGGUGAAAUUCUUGGAUUUAUUGAAGACUAACUACUGCGAAAGCAUUUGCCAAGGAUGUUUUCAUUAAUCAAGAACGAAAGUUAGGGGAUCGAAGACGAUCAGAUACCGUCGUAGUCUUAACCAUAAACUAUGCCGACUAGGGAUCGGAUGAUGUUAAUUUUUUAAUGACUCAUUCGGCGCCUUACGGGAAAC
rnacentral:rRNA from 1 species